rnacentral:rRNA from 1 species
AGCGAACGCUGGCGGCAGGCCUAACACAUGCAAGUCGAACGAAAUCUUCGGACUUAGUGGCGGACGGGUGAGUAACACGUGGGAACGUACCUUUUGGUUCGGAACAACUCAGGGAAACUUGAGCUAAUACCGGAUGAGCCCUUAGGGGGAAAGAUUUAUCGCCGAAAGAGCGGCGCGAGUUAGAUUAGCUAGUUGGUGAGGUAAAGGCUCACCAAGGCUACGAUCUAUAGCUGGUCUGAGAGGAUGAUCAGACACACUGGGACUGAGACACGGCCCAGACUCCUACGGGAGGCAGUAGUGGGGAAUCUUGAGCAAUGGGCGAAAGCCUGACGCAGCCAUGCCGCGUGAAUGAUGAAGGUCUUAGGAUUGUAAAAUUCUUUUACCAGGGACGAUAAUGACGGUACCUGGAGAAAAAGCCCCGGCUAACUUCGUGCCAGCCGCCGCGGUAAAAC